rnacentral:rRNA from 1 species
UGCAGUCGAACGAUGAUGCCCAGCUUGCUGGGUGGAUUAGUGGCGAACGGGUGAGUAACACGUGAGUAACCUGCCCUUGACUUCGGGAUAACUCCGGGAAACCGGGGCUAAUACCGGAUAUGAGCCGCCUUCGCAUGGGGGUGGUUGGAAAGUUUUUCGGUCAGGGAUGGGCUCGCGGCCUAUCAGCUUGUUGGUGGGGUGAUGGCCUACCAAGGCGACGACGGGUAGCCGGCCUGAGAGGGCGACCGGCCACACUGGGACUGAGACACGGCCCAGACUCCUACGGGAGGCAGCAGUGGGGAAUAUUGCACAAUGGGCGAAAGCCUGAUGCAGCGACGCCGCGUGAGGGAUGAAGGCCUUCGGGUUGUAAACCUCUUUCAGCAGGGAAGAAGCGCAAGUGACGGUACCUGCAGAAGAAGCGCCGGCUAACUACGUGCCAGCAGCCGCGGUAAUACGUAGGGCGCAAGCGUUGUCCGGGAAUUAUUGGGCGUAAAGAGCUCGUAGGCGGUUUGUCGCGUCUGGUGUGAAAACUCGAGGCUCAACCUCGAGCUUGCAUCGGGUACGGGCAGACUAGAGUGCGGUAGGGGAGACUGGAAUUCCUGGUGUAGCGGUGGAAUGCGCAGAUAUCAGGAGGAACACCGAUGGCGAAGGCAGGUCUCUGGGCCGCAACUGACGCUGAGGAGCGAAAGCAUGGGGAGCGAACAGGAUUAGAUACCCUGGUAGUCCAUGCCGUAAACGUUGGGCACUAGGUGUGGGGCUCAUUCCACGAGUUCCGUGCCGCAGCAAACGCAUUAAGUGCCCCGCCUGGGGAGUACGGCCGCAAGGCUAAAACUCAAAGGAAUUGACGGGGGCCCGCACAAGCGGCGGAGCAUGCGGAUUAAUUCGAUGCAACGCGAAGAACCUUACCAAGGCUUGACAUGCACGGGAAGCCACCAGAGAUGGUGGUCUCUUUGGACACUCGUGCACAGGUGGUGCAUGGUUGUCGUCAGCUCGUGUCGUGAGAUGUUGGGUUAAGUCCCGCAACGAGCGCAACCCUCGUCCCAUGUUGCCAGCGGGUUAUGCCGGGGACUCAUGGGAGACUGCCGGGGUCAACUCGGAGGAAGGUGGGGAUGACGUCAAUC